AGCCAGUUAGCUCAGUCAGGUUCAGAGCGCUAGUCUAAGUUUGCAGUGGUGUGACAACUACAGUGAAUCGGUUCAAAUCCGGUACUGGCUA
rnacentral:tRNA from 1 species